rnacentral:rRNA from 2 species
CUUGGCGGCGAUAGCGCGGUGGUCCCACCUGACCCCAUGCCGAACUCAGAAGUGAAACGCCGUAGCGCCGAUGGUAGUGUGGGGUCUCCCCAUGUGAGAGUAGGGAACUGCCAGGC